rnacentral:rRNA from 1 species
GAUGAACGCUGGCGGCGUGCCUAAUACAUGCAAGUCGAGCGAACAGACGAGGAGCUUGCUCCUCUGACGUUAGCGGCGGACGGGUGAGUAACACGUGGCUAACCUACCUAUAAGACUGGGAUAACUUCGGGAAACCGGAGCUAAUACCGGAUAAUAUAUUGAACCGCAUGGUUCAAUAGUGAAAGACGGUUUUGCUGUCAAUUAUAGAUGGAUCCGCGCCGCAUUAGCUAGUUGGUAAGGUAACGGCUUACCAAGGCAACGAUGCGUAGCCGACCUGAGAGGGUGAUCGGCCACACUGGAACUGAGACACGGUCCAGACUCCUACGGGAGGCAGCAGUAGGGAAUCUUCCGCAAUGGGCGAAAGCCUGACGGAGCAACGCCGCGUGAGUGAUGAAGGUCUUCGGAUCGUAAAACUCUGUUAUUAGGGAAGAACAAAUGUGUAAGUAACUAUGCACGUCUUGACGGUACCUAAUCAGAAAGCCACGGCUAACUACGUG